rnacentral:rRNA from 1 species
CCUACGGGAGGCAGCAGUGGGGAAUAUUGGACAAUGGGGGCAACCCUGAUCCAGCCAUGCCGCGUGUGUGAAGAAGGCCCUCGGGUUGUAAAGCCCUUUCAGGGGGGAAGAACGCCUGUGGGUUAUUACCAACCGGAAAAGACAUCACCCACGAAAAAAGCCCCGGCUAACUCCGUGCCAGCAGCCGCGGUAAUACGGAGGGUGCGAGCGUUAAUCGGAAUUACUGGGCGUAAAGCGCGCGUAGGUGGCUUGAUAAGCCGGUUGUGAAAGCCCCGGGCUCAACCUGGGAACGGCAUCCGGAACUGUCAAGCUAGAGUGCAGGAGAGGAAGGUAGAAUUCCCGGUGUAGCGGUGAAAUGCGUAGAGAUCGGGAGGAAUACCAGUGGCGAAGGCGGCCUUCUGGACUGACACUGACACUGAGGUGCGAAAGCGUGGGUAGCAAACAGGAUUAGAUACCCCAGUAGUC